rnacentral:rRNA from 1 species
GAUGAACGCUAGCUACAGGCUUAACACAUGCAAGUCGAGGGGAAACGAUAUUGGAAGCUUGCUUCUGAUAGGCGUCGACCGGCGCACGGGUGAGUAACGCGUAUCCAACCUGCCCAUCACUUGGGGAUAACCUUGCGAAAGUAAGACUAAUACCCAAUGACGUCUCUAGAAGACAUCUGAAAGAGAUUAAAGAUUUAUCGGUGAUGGAUGGGGAUGCGUCUGAUUAGCUUGUUGGCGGGGUAACGGCCCACCAAGGCGACGAUCAGUAGGGGUUCUGAGAGGAAGGUCCCCCACAUUGGAACUGAGACACGGUCCAAACUCCUACGGGAGGCAGCAGUGAGGAAUAUUGGUCAAUGGACGAGAGUCUGAACCAGCCAAGUAGCGUGCAGGAUGACGGCCCUAUGGGUUGUAAACUGCUUUUAUAAGGGAAUAAAGUGGGAGUCGUGACUCUUUUUGCAUGUACCUUAUGAAUAAGGACCGGCUAAAUUCCGUGCCAGCAGCCG